UAGGCAAGAGUAGGCGGGAGACAGGAAGUUCCCUUUGAGAAUAUGUGAAUAUUGGCACAUACCCGUGCAGCUCUGAACACUGCUACCUAGAUGUUUUCACAUGUGUUCAUAUCCUCAGAACUGCACGUCGGUGUAAAGGGCGUAUUCCACGUUGUCAGGUGUUGACGCCCACAUCUUACAGGUGUUCCACCCUCAUGUCAAAUCCAUGCAGAAGAUCCACGAGGAAUCUUUACAACUCCCGAGCACACACAGGACGGCCGCUGAAAAAGGAAAGUAAACGGCACGACUGAAAGGUCUGUGAGGAGAGCGACGCUGUCGGGGACAUCAGGAAGCACUUGGACCAAAGCCAGGAGCUGAGACGCCAUCUUGCUGAGCUCCAGAGCAACACUGAGCAGGAGAUCUCCACCAUCACACAGCAGUAAGCACACACUCCACCAUCACACACACUCCACCAUCACACACACUCCACCAUCACACAGCAGUAAGCACACACUCCACCAUCACACACACUCCACCAUCACACACACUCCACCAUCACACAGCAAUCACCAUCACACACACUCCACCAUCACACAGCAGUAAACACACACUCCACCAUCACACAGAGAUCACCAUCACACACACUCCACCAUCACACAGCAGUAAGCACACACUCCAGACCUCACAGAAAUGCUUGCAGUGGUUUUUCUUCUGAUUAUGCUCUCUCUUCAAGCCAAAUCUGAUCAGUGUGGUAUAGAGGAGAAUACUAUGAUGAUUCUUUCUUUAACUUUAUAGAUACAUGCAUGAGACUCAGCACUGUUUAACAGAUGCAUGGCUACGGUCUGCAGUGUAAUCCACCCGUUAGAAGCGGUUAUUGCGCCAUGACCCAUUCAAUCAGUGCUUCAGAUACGAAGCUGCACAUAUUGAUAAUGACGGCAGGAUCUAAUGUACAGGAGAUGCAUAGACAUGGCACACAAUACUGGAAAGGCCUCCUAUGUCCACUUCAGAUUUAGUCGUAGUGU
ensembl:lncRNA